UACGUAGGGGGCAAGCGUUGUCCGGAUUUAUUGGGCGUAAAGAGCGUGUAGGCAGCCAUACAGGUCCGUUGUGAAAACUGGAGGCUUAACCUCCAGACGUCGAUGGAAACCGUAUGGCUAGAGUCCGGAAGAGGAGAGUGGAAUUCCUGGUGUAGCGGUGAAAUGCGCAGAUAUCAGGAAGAACACCCGUGGCGAAGGCGGCUCUCUGGGACGGUACUGACGCUGAGACGCGAAAGCGUGGGGAGCGAACAGG
rnacentral:rRNA from 1 species